CUGGUCUGGUUUGAGGGGGAUCAGUAUGCUGUCGGACUCACAUCUAUCCGUAAGUUACAGCAGAUACUCUUAAAAAUGCAUAGUGCUGCAAAAAUCGACCAUGAAAAUAGUUAGCUACCAAAUACAUUGCUAAUUAGUUGGAAAGUGGCGACGUGCACUGAGCAGUAUGCCGUUAGUGAAAAGUGUUAGCGAGGCAGAGCGCAUAACUGGAAAAAAGAAGAGACGCUGAAACAGGAAAACAUGACCAAACAAGUUGUCUAGCAUACCAGAUCAUUUUAUAAACACCUAAAAGAGGAUUAUAAGUGAACAAUUUAAGGUGGAGCGUUUGCUUCGCUGCAUCAGGUGCGUUCGCAGUGCUUGUGCUGUUUGAUUCGGGUGACACGGCGUGAAUGUUGUUUCUUCUUUUCGCAUUACUCUACGGUAUGAGUAACACUGAGCCUUAUCUUCACGAAUUUGCGGAUGUUGACAGAAGUGAAGCAUUUUGACCGAUUUCAAGUCUUCACCUCAAGCACAGGAGCCCUACACCAAACGAAUGCUGGAGAGGUUAUCCAGCAUGUUCCAGUGCCAAAUGAACAGGGAGGCCUGCACUCUCUACUUCAAAGCAAAGCAGCAGUGUUAAGUUACCUGAGGAACACAGGAUCAUUUCAAGUCCAGGAGACUGCUUGUCAAAGUUUGUGUCAGUCACUUGGUGGAGAAGGGUGAAUUGUAAGUAUAUAAAUUCAAAAACAUAUUCGACCACUCUGAAUUUUACUCAGUGGUGUUUGCCCUGUCAGAUAAGUGUUUUAAUAUUGUACAUGCUCUGUUUUCAGUUAACUUUAUCCAUCAAGUGCUGAAAAGCUUGUUUUUGUCACUACUUUCACAUCUUUGCCGGGUCGGAUUAAAGGAAAAGGAGAUGGAUUUGUAAGUAAUAUGUAAUUAAUGUCAAAAACAGCCAAAUGUGUUUUUUUUUGUUUUGCACACUGGGUAGGAACAUUAAUAUCGCAAGCUAUUUAUUCUACUUUUCGAAACCAUGCUUAAGGAAGAUUUAAAAGAACAUUACCUCCUCACACUUAGUCCAGUUAAAGAACAUCCUGUAAUUCCUAUCUGUUCUCUUACCCGAAUUUUGCUCAGCUUUCGCUGAAUCUUCUGUUGGACUUUAUCAGCCCAGUAUUUCUCAUGGAGGAAGUCCCAAAAGAUCCGACCAAUUAGUGCAUUCAGCCAGUCAGGUUUUGUUUCAUCCUCAUGACAACAAAAGGUCUGUUCCAAAAGGGGUGAUGGAAGAAAAACUUUGGAGUAAUGAAGAUACAUUGUCAUUUUCUGCAAUGGGGGGGUAAGCUGUGUCACUUAAAUUGUCCUCUAAACAAGGAGAAAUGUAAACAUUUUGGUUGUUGCAUUCCUUGACUGUUGUCAGUUG
rnacentral:lncRNA from 1 species